ensembl:lncRNA
AUGUCUGCUACGCCAAAGCCUGCUAAAGUCAUGCCUGCUACUCCAGAACCUGCUCACAUGCCAAGGUUUGCUCACGUCAUACCUGCUUUGCCAAGUCCUCACGUUGCGUCUGCCAAGCCAGAGCCUACUGACAUCAUGCCGGUCUCACAAGAGAUUCUUCGUAAUAUGGCAGCCAUUCAAGAACUUCAUCGCAAGAUGGCCUCCAUUCCAGAGUCCCGUCACCUCAUGCCUGUCGAGCCAGGGCCUUCACACAAGAUGGCCGCCAUUCCAGAGUCCCGUCACGUCAUGCCUGUCGAGCCAGGGCCUUCACACAAGAUGGCCGCCAUUCCAGAGUCCCAUCACGUCAUGCCUGUUGAGCCAGGGCCUUCACACAAGAUGGCCGCAACGCAAGAGUCCCCGGCCAAGAUGGCCCCCACGCCAGAGUCUCGCCAAGUCUUGGCAGUCACUGAGACUGUUCCCGUGGCCUCAGUACUUCCAGUAAUGGCAGUCGCCAUUUUGACCGUGUGGGCUGCUCACUGCGCUCCAGAGACUUUUCUUAUCCACGAGUCUGUUCCUGAGGCUUCUCCUGACCGUGAACCCACUCCAGUGCCUCCAGAGGUGUCAGCUUCCGCUGCAGAACCUCCAGAGGUGGUGGCUUCCAAUUUAGAACCUCCCAAGGUGGUGGCUCCCACAUUUGAACUAUCUGUCUGCCAUGUUACAGCCAAGGAGGCCACCUUUGAACUCUCUGCCUGUCCUGUCACGGGCAAGGAGGCCGUCCACAAACUCUCUGCCUGUCCUGUCAUGGCCAAGGAGGCCAUCCACAAACUCAAUGUCUGUCCUGCCACAGAGGCCAUUCAUGAACUCACUGUCUGUCCUGUCACGGCCAUGGAGUCCGUUCACAAACUCACUGUCUGUCCUGUCAUGGCCACGGAGGCCGCUCAUGAACUCACUGUCUGUCCUGUCACGGCCUCGGAGGCCAUUCAAAAAAUCUCUGCUUGUUCUGCCACAGACAAGUGGUCUGUCCAUGUCUCUGCUCCACCUUGGCUUCCUGCUCUGCCAGUGCCACUCCAUCCCGCUAGGCCUGCACUGCCAUGGCUCCCCGCUAGGACUGCUCCGCCAUGGCUCUAUUUUCUGUCACUGGGCUGGGUUGGUGAUGUACUUCCACGCUCUGAAUUGAGCGAAUUGAGAAAGAUGUUUAAGGCACAGCUUAUGCGUAGACUACCAUCAAUUGAAUGCUAA